AUUGAACGCUGGCGGCAGGCCUAACACAUGCAAGUCGAGCGGAUGAAGGGAGCUUGCUCCUGGAUUCAGCGGCGGACGGGUGAGUAAUGCCUAGGAAUCUGCCUGGUAGUGGGGGAUAACGUCCGGAAACGGGCGCUAAUACCGCAUACGUCCUGAGGGAGAAAGUGGGGGAUCUUCGGACCUCACGCUAUCAGAUGAGCCUAGGUCGGAUUAGCUAGUUGGUGGGGUAAAGGCCUACCAAGGCGACGAUCCGUAACUGGUCUGAGAGGAUGAUCAGUCACACUGGAACUGAGACACGGUCCAGACUCCUACGGGAGGCAGCAGUGGGAAAUAUUGGACAAUGGGCGAAAGCCUGAUCCAGCCAUGCCGCGUGUGUGAAGAAAGUCUUCGGAUUGUAAAGCACUUUAAGUGGGGAGGAAGGGCAGUAAGUUAAUACCUUGCUGUUUUGACGUUACCAACAGAAUAAGCACCGGCUAACUUCGUG
rnacentral:rRNA from 1 species